CUCCCCUUGUUUAUUCCGCUUCGUUUCCGGUCUACGCUUUCCAGCCUUCCCCUUCAAAUCAAAACCCUACAUCUCUCUCUCUCUCUCUCUCUCUCUCUCUCUCUGCCCUAGAUGUCAUUUGGAGUUGUUGCAGCCAUUCGCAGGUCCAAAUUUCGAGUAUUUCCUUCAUCACCGUUGUUCCUCUCCAGAAUACUUCCAUCCAUCAUCUUCAGCAGUGAUUCUUCUUCCUCUUUCCAACCGCCGCAGUCUUUAUUCUUCUUCCUCACCGGUAGCAAUGGCGGUCUCAAUCGCAGUGUGAGUCUGCCCCGGUGGUCUUGCCGCUGCUAUCAUGAUGGGAGGCCGAGAGGACCUCUCUGGAGGAGCAAAAAAAUUAUUGGCAAGGAAGCUCUUUUCGUGAUAUUGUGCUUGAAGAGAUUCAAGGAUGACCAAGAGAAGCUUGAUAAGUUCAUUAAAACCCACGUCCUAAGGCUGUUGAAGCUCGACCUCAUUGCUGUCCUCUCUGAACUGCAGCGCCAAGAAGAGGUCUCUCUGGCCCUCCUGAUCUUUAGGGUUAUUCAAAAACAAGACUGGUAUAAGCCUGAUGUCUUCCUCUACAAGGACCUGAUUAUUGCAUUAUCAAAAUGUAAGAAAAUGGAUGAUGCAACGCAAUUAUGGGAAAUCAUGAGAAAGGAAGGCUUAUUUCCUGACAGCCAAACAUACACUGAAGUUAUUCGUGGCUUCUUGAGGUGUGGAUCUCCUGCGGAUGCCAUGAACAUUUAUGAGGACAUGAAGAAUUCGCCAGAUCCACCAGAGGAGUUGCCAUUUAGGAUAUUGUUGAAGGGUCUUCUGCCACACCCUCUCUUGAGAAACAGAGUAAAGCAAGAUUUUGAGGAAAUUUUUCCUGAUAGCCAUAUGUAUGAUCCUCCAGAAGAAAUAUUUGGAUUGCGCUAAGCAACUAAGGUUUCAUCAACCUGGAAACAGUGGAUCCAGUGUUGACCUAGAUAAAGGAAUUAUAUAGCUGUGCUUUGUCCUCCGCACAUCCAGAAUUGCUUGGCCAAAACAUUGAACCAAACCAAACCACUUGGGAAAAAGUUUUCAGAAAUUGAAAAGCAGAAAGUUUUCUGAUUGAUUACCUUGUCAGAUGAUAUGAGAAUUAAAAUUUCUUUACCUAAGAUACUUGAGAAGAAUCUGGUCGUCAGAGCCCAACCUGUUUGUCAAUUCUCAAAUCUGCGUCCUGGCACCUGUGGCAAUUUGACUCCAACAGAAGAAGUUGGUAGCAUCUAUACCAAGAAAGAUAAAUCAGACAGGGUGGUUUUCUAAGAAAUUUAUGCAAUUGGGUUUUGAAUUUCUUUGCUAGAGACAGGGAGAGAAACUAUGCUUAAGAGACCAAACGUUUUUAGGGCUUGAUGUUCUCAUCUGUUCUGUUUGGAUCUAAGGAUCAAGCAUGAUAGUUGUUCGCGAAUAUAAUUUUUUAUGAAUAUCAUCUACGCUGUUGGAGUAAGAGUACUAUUGUUCAUUUGUUUUGCAAUUGUUUUGUUAAGAGCGUGAAUCUAGUUUGAUUAUGAUUUAGACCUA